GAUGAAGACCGUGCUUGCACGGUUGGAUUAGUGGCGAACGGGUGAGUAUCACGUGAGUAACCUUCCCUUGACUCUGGGAUAAGCCCGGGAAACUGGGUCUAAUACCGGAUACGACCAGUCCUCGCAUGGGGUGCUGGUGGAAAGAUUUAUGUAGUGGUUAUAGAUGGGCUCACGGCCUAUCAGCUUGUUGGUGAGGUAACGGCCUACCAAGGCGACGAUCUGUAGCCGACCUGAGAGGGUGACCGGCCACAUUGGGACUGAGACACGGCCCAAACUCCUACGGGAGGCAGCAGUGGGGAAUAUUG
rnacentral:rRNA from 1 species